rnacentral:rRNA from 1 species
CUUAGGGUGAUAGAAACUUUACAAUGGAGAGUUUGAUCCUGGCUCAGGAUGAACGCUGGCG